rnacentral:lncRNA from 1 species
AUGACUGAGUGUCCUUUAGGGAAAAUUUAAUUUAUGGUCACUGAAUUUGAAGGAAAUGUGGAAUCAUCACUUUCUAAUUAGUGAUGCAUUAAAGUGAGGGUCCCUUGAACCCAUGUCGUAAUUAGUGGGUGGCCACACAAGGCAGUUAGUUACCUGGGCUUUCAGGAAAUCCUUAGCCUUUUGUUCUUUCUCAUCUAUUUUGAUCUGAGUCAUUCGCCCGAGGUUGAACACCAGCUCCCGCAAACUUUCUUGCUCCUUUAGAAGUUUGUUCUCCUGUGCAAUCUGCUGCUCCACUAACUUGGCCUCAGCUUCUGACAGAGAUUUCUUUUGAGAAGCAAAGGAUUAGAAUUCGCUUUCUGAAGAAACCCAGCAAGGUCUGCACAGAGCACGGCCUCGUCCUUUUGUGUUUAUUAAGAGACCGAGCUCCAAGUUUUCCUUUACUUUAUGAAGGGUGGGAACUAGAGGGGUAGCACCACCGACCUUCUCCUUGCUGUGCUUUUAAAAGACUAGGAGAAGUUUAAAAUUAUAUUUUAAAAAUACCUCAACGGUAGCUCGACUGACAAAAGUUUGGAAUUUGAGAACAGAUAUUGAUGAAGCACGGUUGACUUUUAAUGCCAUCAACAGCCUUUUAUCUGAGAAAUCCUCACAGCCUGGCCUCACAGCCUGGCCUCACAGCCUGGCCUCACAGCCUGGGAAGGCUUUGUCCUCUCAAGCCACAUCCUUUUCUUAUGAACUUGGAGGUGAGGGCGGUGCAUGCACACUCACCUAAAGCAUUUGGCUAGCAUGCUUGAACAUUGCAUCCAACCCUUAGUAAACCUCCCCAUAAAAGAACAAAAAAAAAAAAAACAAAAACAAAAAUCCAGGCCCAUUAUAAGCGGGACGCUAACAUCAUAUUUUUACUCUAAAUAUUAAUGCAUAUACUUAUAUAUAUUAUUAUAAAUAUGAAUGGGUUCCACUAUGGCAUUUCCAUAUACACGUAUAUCAUUAUUUGAUACUUUCUGCCUUCCCAACCCCAUCCCCCCCGCAUCUGCUUCCUGCCCCCUACGUAUUCUUCUUUUGAUGUGGUUUUCUGGAGCAUUUCUGAGACACAACUUCAUUCUCCAUUCUGAGGUAAAAGUGUGACUGAUAUUAACCUGUUGAGCCAGAUUUCUCCUAGCUAGAUCAACCUCUUUGUGGAGCUCUUUCCUUCGUUCAGGCAAUGUAAGGUAUUCUUUUGGGAUAGCUUCCAUCUGGAAAUCAAAAUUUAAAAUAGGUGCUAUUAUGAAAACAGCCUCUGGAGUCAACCCCAUUACAUACAUAUUAAAAAUGGCAGGCAAAUCAUGAUUCCCAAUCUUAUAGAGAUUUUCUACUCUGGCUGUGCUUUAUAAAAUCAAAGCAAAAUAUAAUAUGAAGAUCUACCAAAAUUACAUGAUACAUUAGCUGCAAAUGUUAUAACCUUUAUAAAUAAAUCUUAAUAUCUAACAUGUAUUAACCAUUGCCUAAAUUUGCUGCAGGGAUCUGAGGGCCUGGAUGCACAAUCUUAUUCAUCCACCACACAGGCAGGAGGCAUCCAGGGGUCUGGGAAGGAGAAAGGCAUACUACCUUCCUUCCUGGUGCAGGUGCACGCCCACACUGUCAGCCAAAGAGCCUGUGAUCUUUCUAGCACACCCUGCUGCCUCUUGAAUUCAUGAUUCUGGAACUGAGGAACCUGCAUGAGUUGGACUAUUUAUGCGAGGGUAUUAUAAUUACCAAGUCUGUAUUUACUUAGGAAACUAUGCCAAACAAAACCAGUUCUUGGUUAACGAUGAUGAGUAUAACUCACUACUUCAAUGUGAUAGUUUGAUGAGUAAAUUAAAAUUCUUUCUUUUUUGUUUGUAUGUUUGUUUGUUUGAGACAGUUUCAGUCCUGGCUGUCCUGGAACGAACUCUGUAGACCAGGCUGGCCUUGAACUCAGAAAUCUGCUUGCCUCUGCCUCCCAAGUGCUGGGAUUAAAGGUGUGCACCACCACGCCUAGCUUAAAAUUCUUUAAAGAAAAAGCUCCUUAAUCUUUUUGUUGUUGAGAUCUACAUUUUUGCCCUUAUAAUUUUUGUUGUGUUAGUUUGUAUUUCUGCCUGUGUUAAAAUACUUGGGGGAAAGUAUUUGAUAAGGAAUCCCAUAGUAGCUAAUGAGGGAAGGCAGGCAUCCAAGGCUGUGGAAGGGUCACCCUGGGGUGAUAAUGGCCUACUUGACUACUUUGGACCCAAUUAUGAAAGAAAGCAAACGACCUGAUGUGGCUCUUUUCCUCUGGUGACAACAUUCUUCAAGUCACCAGGGUUGCCCCCAAGCCAGUACGCACAACUGGGAAAGAUCCUGCUUGGUGGUUUAUCAGGAUCUUUGGGUCCCCUGGUCAUCAUCUAUAACUCAGUGCUUCUCCAGCACCACCAUCUGUGCCCUCAGGUGCCCAGUACUUCCUGAUUCUCAUGGCUUCAUCUACAAUGGACAGCUGUCAUGAAGCACAAAUACGGUCUUGUGAAAUUCAUACAGUAAUAUAAACUCUCAUGUUUCUAAUGAACAGAUGAAUGCAAAGCAAAGCAAAGCAAAACAAAGGGGAAACUAGUGUAACCUUGAAUAAUUAGGAAGACUGCAUGGGCAAAAUGAGAUGCCCAUGAGGAAGGCUCCAUGUCUCUGAUAUGGGAUGGAGAGAGAAAGAAGGCAAGACCCGAUUGCUGACCACAUACACUUCAGACACAGGACUUGGAGGAACUGAGCUGGACCUGAGCUGGAAGCCUCUACCCCAAGAACUAGCUCUCAUAGUAACAAAAGGAGCUGCCAAGGGAGAAAAGCAAUCAAUAGUCUUAUGCAGCUGUAAUGCCUGUGAACCACAACCAUCAGAAUGUCAAGAUAUUCUGAAAGGGACCCACCAGAAGGCAUGCUUGCUUUCCCCGAGACCAGCAGAUGGACUAGAAACACGGGGCAUGCUGUAUGACGUUGCAUACUAUAUGAAGAGAUCUCAAAGAAUUCAGCUGAAGCAAUAGCAUUGAAUUAAGAAGAGAACUUGAUGAAAGCCAGGGCUUCUUUCCUUCUAAGUCUGUGUGUUCAGAGUUCCAGUUUAACAUUCUGAUGUGUUGUGCUCUAGGCUAAGCAGUAUCUUGUAAAUUAGUCAACCUUUCAAUAAAAAUAACUUUCAAAGUGA